GAAAGCUUCUAUAGUAGAACUCAUUCGAGAGGGCUUGGUGGUCUUAAGAAUGGUUCGGGUGGGGGGUUUCUCUUAAGAAUAAAGAAGACGAAAAGAAUCUAAUUCAUGUUUAUGUUGACAGAAGAGCGGAUCCAAUACCAAGACGACUUCUUUCUCAGGAAGUGCAGCAAGUACUUGAGGAAUUUUGGGAUUUCAUGCCCCACGAGUGAGUUGCCAAGUGCCCCCUAGGAGUGCAGUCUACCACAAGAUCGAGUUGGAG
rnacentral:lncRNA from 1 species